rnacentral:rRNA from 1 species
GACGUAGGGCGCGAGCGUUGUCCGGAUUUAUUGGGCGUAAAGAGCUCGUAGGCGGCUCGUUGCGUCGGCUGUGAAAACCCGCAGCUCAACUGUGGGCUUGCAGCCGAUACGGGCGGGCUGGAGUUCGGUAGGGGAGACUGGAAUUCCUGGUGUAGCGGUGAAAUGCGCAGAUAUCAGGAGGAACACCGGUGGCGAAGGCGGAUCUCUGGGCCUGUUCUGACGCUGAGGCGCGAAAGCUAGGGGAGCAAACAGG